AUUGAACGCUGGCGGAAUGCUUUACACAUGCAAGUCGAACGGCAGCACGGGGCAACCUGGUGGCGAGUGGCGAACGGGUGAGUAAUACAUCGGAACGUGCCCAAUCGUGGGGGAUAACGUAGCGAAGUUACGCUAAUACCGCAUACGAUCUACGGAUGAAAGCGGGGGAUCGCAAGACCUCGCGCGAGUGGAGCGGCCGAUGUCAGAUUAGGUAGUUGGUGGGGUAAAGGCUCACCAAGCCAACGAUCUGUAGCUGGUCUGAGAGGACGACCAGCCACACUGGAACUGAGACACGGUCCAGACUCCUACGGGAGGCAGCAGUGGGGAAUUUUGGACAAUGGGCGCAAGCCUGAUCCAGCCAUUCCGCGUGCAGGAUGAAGGCCUUCGGUUGUAACUAGCUUUGUACGGUAACGAAACGGACGAGCUCUAAUACAG
rnacentral:rRNA from 1 species